rnacentral:rRNA from 1 species
GACGAACGCUGGCGGCGUGCCUAAUACAUGCAAGUCGAGCGAAGUUUUUCUGGUGCUUGCACUAGAAAAACUUAGCGGCGAAUGGGUGAGUAACACGUAAAGAACCUGUCUCAUAGACUGGGAUAACUAUUGGAAACGAUAGCUACUACUGGAUACCAGUAUUUCUUGCUUGAGAGUGAUUUAAAAGUUGGUUAUGCUAACACUAUGAGAUGUCUUUGCGUUGCAUUAGCUAGUUGGUGGGGUAAAGCCCCACCAAGUCGACGAUGGAUAGACGACCUGAGAGGGUGAUCGGCCACACUGGGACUGAAACAGGGCCCAGACGCCUGAGAGAGGCAGCAGUAGGGAAUCGUCCGCAGCGGGCGAGAGCCUGACGGAGCGAGGCCGAGUGAGUGGAGAAGGAUCUCGGUUCAUAAAGCUCUGUUGUUAGGGAAGAAUGGAUAUGUAGUAACUAUACAUGUAAGAGACGGUACCUAGCCAGAAAGCCACGGCUAACUACGUG